GCAUCAGUGACGGGCACGCUUGUCCGAGGAUGCUGAGGGACUCGUUCCCGAUGCCAGUCUGCGGUCC
ensembl:snoRNA